rnacentral:lncRNA from 1 species
GCCACUCGAUAAAAUCAGCUAAGGAAAAAAGUAUUUUGAGGCCGGGCGCGGUGGCCUGGGUGGGUGGCCUGUAAUCCCAGCACUUUGGGAGGCCGAGGCCGGUAGAUCACCUGAGGUCAGGAGUUCUAGAUCAGCCUGGUCAACAUGGUAAAACCCCGUCUCUAUUAAAAAAAAAAAAUACAAAAAUUAGCCGGGCGUGGUGGCAGGCGCCUGUAAUCCCAGCUACUGGGGGGCCGAGGCAGGAGAAUCGCUUGAACCCGGGAGGCGGAGGUUGCAAUGAGCAGAGAUCGCGCCAUCGCACUCCAGCCUGGGGAACAAGAGCGAGACUUCGUCUCAAAAAGAAAAAAGAAAAAAAAGUAUUUUGAAGCUGGUACUCCAGUCUUUAUGGCUAUUUGUGGGAUGAGGAAUUUGCCAGUUUAAUGGAGACUUUUAAAAAUAAAUCGCUUUUGAAAGAUUAGGUUGAAAUGUAAUCAGUGUAGUGUCUCAUCAGUCAUUACUGAACUUUUAAUGCUAAUGAUUUUACUGUGAGAUAACCUGUAAUCUUUAGUCAUUUAUGAAUGUCUAUUUACCAAUGAUUCAGCAACCAUACAGGCCACCUUUCAGCGUGUCUUUGAAAGGGUUCUAGGAACACAGAUAAAAAUAUAUGAUCCUUACCUUAAAGACACUGGCGAUUUCAUGGGCACAGAAACAAACAUGUGUGAAGUACUGGGAUAGCUUAGGAAGCCGAUCCCCCACGUGUCCCAUUUACCAGAGUGAAUCAGAGUGCAGGUGAUGCGGAAUAUUAUCUUCCAUGCUAUUCCUGAAAUAUUUCCAUCUGUCCCUGCCUCUCUGUUACCACUGAAAUGUUCCUUUUUUUAAUUCCUUAUCAUCUUUUCACCUAUUAAAGUAGCCUCUUAAGUGGUCUCCAGAAGAGAAGCUCCAGAUCUACUGCAGGCUACUCCAGUGAAACUUAUCCUUUUGGCUAAGAUCAAGUGUAGUAUCUGUUCUUAACAGUUUAAUAUUUGACACAUUCUCUAUCCAAGGAAAAUAUGUUAAAUGGGUUUUUGAAGCAAGGAGAUGGAAUAGGAGUUUGCUCCACCACUCUACACAUCAACCUGUAUUUCAAUACCUCCAGAAACCCAGGAACGGUGCAUCUCUCCCAUCUUAUUUACUUCCUUUUGAUAUUUCAAAAUUCAUGCAGACCAGGCAUGGUGGCUCAUGCCUGUAAUACCUGCAGUUUGGGAGGCUGAGGCAGGAGGAUCAUUUGAGCCCAGGAGUUCGAGACCAGCCUGAGCAACAAAGCAAGACCCCAUCUUUACAAAUAAUAAUAAUAAUAAUAAAUUAGCCAGGCAUGGUGGGGUCUCAGCUACUUGGGAAGCUGAGGUGGGAAGAUCACUUGAGCCCAGGAGGUCCAGGCUACAGUGAGCCGUGAUCAUGCCACUGCACUGCAGCCUGGGUGACACAGCUAGACCCUGUUUCAAAAAUAAAUAAAUAAAUCUCACGUGGCAUCCAGGUUAGUUAAGCGUAUCACAUCUCCUACUUUCCCUAAGAUCCUAGAAGCCAAAGGCGCUGCUCUAAAACUCUAGCGUUUUCCUACAUCUUCACUACAUAAAACAUCAGCCUACUGGAUACUACUCCAUCAAAACCCGGCACCUAAGUAGUAGCUAAUAAUGGGUUAAAUCGUAUACAUAUAUUCAAAAUAAUGCUAGAGUCGAUAAUCUUACACUUUUCAGAUAAGGCAUCUAUCCAAUUUAAGGCACUCUAUGUCUUUAGUAUCUUGUUUGUUCAAUCACUCAAAUAAGCAUUUAUUGAGAACCUUGAAAUGGCCCUGAAGGAGUAACUGUGAACAGUAGGAAUUACAGGUAUGCCGGCAGAUUGUCAGGGGACAAAAUCUGUGACACUGAGGAAUGUAAGCACCUAUCAAAUCAUACUACAUAGGUGGUAAAUUUUACCAGCUAUGCAUAGCGCCCUUCUUAAGCAUCACUACUGUAUACUUCAGUUUUUCCAUCUGUUAAAUCGGAAUGAGUGAUAUUUGUCAUCAGUUUACGAUUCUCACAAAAAGGGAACACAAAAUUUCUUACCAGUAUGGAAUCUGUUGCCUUCCCAGAAAUAUGACUCAAAUUCCAUGUGUUUCCAUUGUUAAUAAACAGUUAAAAUGCUGACUCAGCUAUCUUAACUGUAAGAAGUUACAAAAAAUGUAUAUUCAGGAAAUGGGGCAUCUCCACCAUCUAUGCCAGUCCCUGAGGACUGGUAUGUACUUGAUAUCCAGGCAGGUUAUAUUAUCCUCUAGUAUCUGCUCUACCAGCAUUUAACUCAUGCAAGUACAUGGGAGCGUUGUUAUAAAACAAAAACAAAAACACCAGUCUUCUUGAGAGCUUUAGUCCUGAAGUUAGGUUUUAGAAUUAUGGCCAGAACUGGCCAGCCACAGUGGCUCAUACCUGUAAUCCCAGCACUUUGGGAGGCCGAGGCGGGCAGAUCACCUGAGGUCAGGAGUUUGAGACCAGCCUGGCCAACAUGGUGAAACCCUGUCUCUACUAAAACUACAAAAAUUAGCCGGGCAUGAAGGCGCAUGACUGUAAUCCCAGCUACUCGGGAGGCUGAGGCAGGAGAAUCACUUGAACUCGGGAGGUGGAGGCUGCAAUGAGCCGAGAUGGUGCCACUGCACUCCAGCCUGGGCAACAGAGCAGAAUUAUGGCCAGAAUUCAUGGCUAUGGUAAUCGAAAGAUUAGUUACUUCAUGAAUCUUUGUUUACUUUGAUAAUGCCAUUGAAUCUACUAAUUGUUUUUUUUUUUUGAGACAGGUUCUGCUAUAUUGUUCAGGCUGGUCUUGAACUCCUGGGCUCAAACAAUCCUCCUGCCUUGGCCUCCUAAGUAGCUGGGACUACAGGUGUGUGCUACCAUGCUUGGCUUACCAUCUAAUUUGAUUCACUCAAAAACCUUAUGAUAGGGGCAGAACAUGAUGCCAGACUCAUCUUAUAGGUUAACAGACUAAGGCUCAGAAAAGUUAAGAGGCAAACACAAGGUCUCACUUUGGAAGGGGUACAAAUAUCCCAAACAGAACUAAAUUUCCUGUAGAAUUGGACAAUACUGACUAUCUCCUUGAAAUUCUCUCCUCCUGUGGCUUUUAUGGAAGUUUCACUGCCAUGGCUCCUCUCCAAUGGUGAGACUUCUUUUUGUUGUCUUCAGACUUACAAACCUUAAACUGGAGUCCUUAGUCCCAUUUUUUCCCUCUGUCUCAGUUACUCUCAAACUUUAGUGUGCACCAGAAUCCCUGGGAGAGCAUUAAAACAGACUGCUGGGCCCCAUCACCAGAGUUUCAGAUUUAGUAGAUCAGGGAUGGGGCCUGAAAAUCUGCCCUUCUAACAAGCUUCUGGGUGAUGCUGCUGGUCUGAGGACCACACUCUGACAACCACUGCUCCAUCCUCUUUCCCUAGGUAAACUCCACUUUCACAUUGGCUUCAAAUUUUAUCACAGCAUGGAAGACUUCUGGUACACUUCCAGGAGCCUGAACGAUUUUCUAACACCUCAAGGUCAACAUGCCACCAAGGUUUAUUUUAAUCCUUUUCUCCAUUCAAUCUAAUUUCUAUGGCUAGAACUAGAGUAGCUAAGAGUUGGUCUAGUUCAGUCCAACUUGAAACCAGUUAAAAUUGUCCUUGAUAUUGUUCAGCCAGAAAAUCAACUGUUUCUUCUUUAAUGCACUUUCUCUUAUGAUAGUGAUCAUGAACAUUCCAAGUUUAGAAUUAUUGCUGUAUUUGCCUUAUUACUUUUUAUGGAGUAUAAGAUAUGGGGUAAACAGGACCAUGCCUAAUACAUUUCUGUUUUCCAUGACUUCCUUCAUAGUACAAAACCACAAUGCAUAAUUUUCUGGAAAAACAAAUGAAAUGACAGGAGCAGCCAGGAGUGGUAGCUCACAUCUGUAAUCCCAGAACUUUGAGAGGCCAAGGCGGGAGGAUCACUUGAACCCAGGAGUU